rnacentral:rRNA from 1 species
GACGAACGCUGGCGGCGCGCCUUACGCAUGCAAGUCGCACGGACCUUCGGGUUAGUGGCGGACGGCUGAGUAACGCGUAGGUAACCUAUCCAGUGGUGGGGGACAACUCGCCGAAAGGCGAGCUAAUACCGCAUGUGUUCCCGGUGUGAGAUUCACCGGGACGAAAGCCGCAAGGCGCCACUUGAGGGGCCUGCGUCCUAUCAGGUAGUUGGUGGGGUAACGGCCUACCAAGCCUAUUACGGGUAGCNGGUCUGAGAGGACGACCAGCCAGAAGGGGACUGAGACACGGCCCCUACUCCUACGGGAGGCAGCAGCGAGGAAUCUUGGGCAAUGGGCGAAAAGCCUGACCCAGCGACGCCGCGUGAGGGAUGAAGGCCUUCGGUCGUAAACCU